UUGUGUUUUAUUGGAGAAAGUGCACUAGGUGGAUGGAUAGUGUUUAGUUGGUCAUAUCUGGAUGGCAUCUUGUAUCCCAAACUCUCUAUCAUUCCAAGGUUGGAAGACAAGCCCAUAUUGCUUAUUCGGUUGGAACAUAGGCAGAAAGAGGGUUGAUGACAAACCUCAGAUUAAAUACCAUGACAUUGAUCUUACUUUCUCAACUUCGCUGGUGGAUAAAACUUUUUUGAAAGGGAAGGAACUCAAAUGCUGCUAUAGGGCUACAAUUGAUGGAUUUAGUGCAACUGAUUUCCAUGAAUGCUGUGAUUUCAAGGGGCCAUGUGUGAUAAUCGGCUAUACAAACAAGUCUUUCAAGUUUGGUGCAUUUAGCCCUGAAGGCUAUAGAAGCACAGAUGACUACUAUGACACAUUUGAUGCCUUCCUAUUUUAUUGGAUAGACAAUGAAACUAAACCAAUAAUUUUGCCCAAGAUUGGUGGCAGUGGUGCAGCCCUGUUUGAUUAUGCUCGUGGGGGGCCACAAUUUGGGGCUGAUGGCCUACUCAUAGGGCCCCCAUUAGCCCCAGUUAUGGGUGGCUUUGCAGGGCCUGAUACCAAUUCUGGCAUUGGUGACUUGAGGCAAGCUAAGUCUAGGUUGGGAUUGUCUUAUGCUAAGAGGGAGGAUGGCAAGGAGUCUAUUUUUGGUGAUGAGUCCAAAGCAACUCUUCAAGAAGUGGAAGUCUUUUGCAGUCCUCAAAUUGCAAGCUUAUACUAGAACUUCAUAAGGGGGGUUUACAUAUUAUGGUGCAACAUGAUCAAAAUGUGAAAUUGAAGAUUACCCGGCAACUCCCAUGGAUCGAAUUUGUAAAAAUCAAUCACGGGUGUGCCUAGGGAUUGAGAAGGAUCGGAAAUCUCUUGAAGCGAUAAAAGUAACUUGUUCCACAAGUAAGCGUAUUGGUAAAGCUUCAAGAGGGGCCCAGAUUUCCGGUGAGUCCUCACUAGGCAGGGACACGACACGUGGCUGAGGCAGUUGACAGACCGGAUUUUGAGUGGCUGUAGGCUACUACCUUUUUGGAGUGUUUGAUGUAUUUUAGUAUUUUCGCAUUUGAUGGAUCAUGAUAUUGAUCCUUUAUUUUGUAUAUGGCCUGUAUAUGUUUUGUACAUGUCUAUCAGUUUGAUGCAUGUACAUUUGAGUAUUCAGGAACGUUAUAUGAU